GCACCACAACGGCUUCCUGACGUGGUGCUUUAAUUUUAAUGGAGCU
rnacentral:ncRNA from 1 species